rnacentral:rRNA from 1 species
UACAGGGGGGGCAAGCGUUGUUCGGAAUUACUGGGCGUAAAGGGCUUGUAGGUGGCCAACUAAGUCACACGUGAAAUCCCCAGGCUUAACCUGGGAACUGCGUGUGAUACUGGAUGGCUUGAAUCCGGGAGAGGGAUGCGGAAUUCCCGGUGUAGUGGUGAAAUGCGUAGAUAUCGGGAGGAACACCAGUGGCGAAGGCGACUUCCUGGCCUGUUCUUGACGCUGAGGCGCGAAAGCUAGGGGAGCAAACGGG